UCCAAGGAAGGCAGCAGGCGCGCAAAUUACCCAAUCCUGACACAGGGAGUAGUGACAAUAUAUAACGAUACAGGGCCAUUGGUCUUGUAAUUGGAAUGAGUACAAUGUAAAUACCUUAACGAGGAACAAUUGGAGGGCAAGUCUGGUGCCAGCAGCCGCGGUAAAUUUCCAGCUCCAGAUGCGUAUAUUAAGUGUGUUGCAGUUAAAAAGCUCGUAGUUGAACUUUGGGCCUGGGCGGGGCGGUCUACCUAUGGUAAGUAACGGUUGCGGCCGGGUCUUGUGCCCUUCUGGCGACAGCUUCGGAAGUGAACCAGAGAACGAUUACUUUGAGGAAAUUAGAGUGGUGUUCAAAGCAGGCCUUUGCCUCGGAUAAUAUUAGCAUGGAAAAUAAUAGAAUAGGACGUUAUGGUGCCUAUUUUGUUGGUUUCUAGACCAUCGUAUGAUUAAUAGGGACGGUCGGGGGCAUCAGUAUUCAGUUGUCAGAGGUGAAAUUCUUGGAUUAACUGAAAGACUAACUACUGCGAAAGCAUUUGCCAAGGACGUUUUCAUUAAUCAAGAACGAAAGUUAGGGGAUCGAAGAUGAUCAGAUACCGUCGUAGUCCUUAAACUACCAUAAACUAUGCCGACUAAGGGAUCGGGUGGCGCUUCUUGCCCACUCGGCACCUUACGAGAAUCAAAGUCUUUGGGUUCUGGGGGGAGUAUGGUUGCAAGGCUGAAACUUAAAGGAAUUGAACGGAAGGGCACCACAGAGUGGAGCUGCGGCUUAAUUUGACUCAAACACGGGGAACUCACCAGGUCCAGACGUAAUAAGGAUUGACAAGCUAGAGACUUCUCUUGAUCUUACGGGUGGUGGUGCAUGGCCGUUUUUAGUCCUUGGAGUGAUUUUGUCUGCUUAAUUGCGAUAACGGAACGAGACCUUAACCUGCUAAAUAGGGCUGCGAGCAUCUGCUCGUGGGCUCUUCUUAGAGGGACUAUGGGUUUCAAACCCAUGGAAGUUUGAGGCAACAACAGUCUGUGAUGCCUUAGGACGUUCUGGGCCGCACGCGCGCUACACUGACGGAGCCAGCAAGUAUAUCCUUGGUCGAGAGGCCCGGGUAAUCUCGUGAAACUCCGUCGUGCUGGGGAUAGAGCAUUGUAAUUUUUGCUCUUCAACGAGGAAUUCCUAGUAAGCGCAAGUCAUCAGCUUGCGUUGAUUACGUCCCUGCCCUUUGUACACACCGCCCGUCGCUACUACCGAUUGAAUGGCUUAGUGAGGCUCCAAGAUUGGCGCCGCGGGAGGGGCAACUUUCCCAUGGCGCUGAAAUUCAGUCAAACUGGUCAUUUAGAGGUCGUAAAAGUCGUAACAAGGUUUUCCGUAGGUGAACCUGCGGAAG
rnacentral:rRNA from 1 species